CCUACGGGUGGCUGCAGUGGGGAAUAUUGGACAAUGGGGGGAACCCUGAUCCAGCCAUGCCGCGUGUGUGAAGAAGGCCCUCGGGUUGUAAAGCACUUUCAGUGAGGAAGAACGCCUGGUGGUUAAUACCCAUCAGGAAAGACAUCACUCACAGAAGAAGCACCGGCUAACUCCGUGCCAGCAGCCGCGGUAAUACGGAGUGUGCGAGCGUUAAUCGGAAUUACUGGGCGUAAAGCGCGCGUAGGUGGCUUGAUAAGCCGGUUGUGAAAGCCCCGGGCUCAACCUGGGAACGGCAUCCGGAACUGUCAAGCUAGAGUGCAGGAGAGGAAGGUAGAAUUCCCGGUGUAGCGGUGAAAUGCGUAGAGAUCGGGAGGAAUACCAGUGGCGAAGGCGGCCUUCUGGACUGACACUGACACUGAGGUGCGAAAGCGUGGGUAGCAAACAGGAUUAGAUACCCGUGUAGUC
rnacentral:rRNA from 1 species